rnacentral:tRNA from 1 species
GGAAGUCUAGUUAAAAUAAAUAACAAAAGAAUGUCAUUCUUUAAUUACAUUAGUGUCUUUCU